AACCAUAAACGCAGCAAUAGAUAGAGCAAGAAGGAUUCCAAGACAUGUUGCCCUAGGGAGGGUGAUUAGAAGUAAGAAGGAUAAAAGGCCAGUAUUUGCAAUCACAUAUGACCACAGGAUACCCCCAAUACAGAAUAUCCAGGCCAAGCACUGGAUGUCUAUGGUGGCACAGCCAUGAGGUAUUUGCAAAACCACCUCUUACUGUAUUUAGGAGGCAAAGGAAUCUCAGGGAUCACCUGAU
rnacentral:rRNA from 1 species